UUUGACAAAUUUUCAAUUCCUUGUUUUAGUUUUUAGUGUUCUUUAUUUUAUUUUACCUAUUUUAAUGUUAAGUUUUUUUACCUAGAUCAAGACUUAAAAAAAUAUUUUGUUCUGGUUGGUCAAAAUGAAAGAAACCUAAAAGUUAGUUGACCAAAAUGAAAACUUGACAAUAUUAAAUCGUUGCUAGUGAUUAAAUGAAGUGCUUGGAACAGGUGACAGAAAAGUGGGCACU
rnacentral:lncRNA from 1 species